UAAGUUGAAAAUGUAAUCGCUGCUGAGUUUUAUAUUCAGUAGAGGAAAGUCCGGGCUUCAUAGAGCAGGAUGCUGGCUAACGGCCAGAGGGGGUAACCCCAUGGAAAGUGCCGCAGAAAAUAUACCGCCGAUGAUCUUGUUAAAGAAACAGGUAAGGGUGAAAUGGUGGGGGUUUUUCCUUAAUGUAAGAGCCCACCGCAAUUAUGGUGACAUAAUUGGCAUGGUAAACCCCAUUCGAAGCAAAUCCAAGUAGGACAACAUAUACGGGUGGCUCGCCUGGUUGUCGGGUAGGAUGCUUGAGGCUGCAGGUAACUGCAGUCCCAGAUAAAUGAUUACAGCUUUAUAAGUACAGAACCCGGCUUAUUGACAACUUAAUUG
rnacentral:RNase_P_RNA from 1 species